rnacentral:rRNA from 1 species
AUUCCCCGUUAAAACAAACGGGCGCACGUGUUGCGCAAUUGACGGUACCCUGGGAAUAACCAUCGGCUAACUCCUUGCCAGCACCCCCGGUAAUACGGAGGAUGCAANCGUUAUCCGGAUUCAUUGGGUUUAANGGGUGCGUAGGCGGACUAUUAAUUCAUGGGUGAAAUCCUGCACCUUAMCUGCAAAAUUGCCAUUGAUACGGAUAUCCUUGAUUUUGGUUAAGGUAGGCGGAAUGUGUAAUGUACCGKUGAAAUGCUUAAAUAUUACACAAAACACCAWUUGCNUAGGCASCUUACUGASCCNACACUGACCCUAAGGCACAAAACCUUGGGGAUCAAACAGGAUUAAAUACCCUGGUAGACC